GAUGAGACGUACUCGUUUUCACCUGUGAAUCUCGACAUGACCAGCAGCGAUUCUGUGUUGUAGAGCUUCGCAAGAGACUUCUAAGGGCCAGUUGGUCUCACUGGAUGAAGCAGAGAGCUGGCCUGUGGCACUCAGGAGUCAGGUUAUAUCAAUUUCUAUCAUCUUACAAAAUAUUGAUGCUCCCAAUCCAUUGGAAAAGAUUGAUGCAGUAAAUCAACAAUGAGUAAGGAAGCCCAAAUACGAAUGUAGCCAGAAUUCCAAGACUCUUGGCGAGAUGCAGCUUCUUCUUGGGUCCUUAGACUGGGAGCUUCUUGGAGACACCAACUGUGAAUCAUUUAUCUCUGCACCUCCAGCCUUGGCUGUGGGUUUGACGUGCACACUUGGAGAAGAUGGAAGGAACAGCAGGAGCCUUGCCGAGCCCCAGGCCAGGGAGGACAUGAGUGAAGGGCGCCGGGCGGUGCACGUCUCCGCUCCCAAUCUCUCUGGCUGUCACGUCUCCCAGCUUCUUGCCAACUCACAUCCCCGACCCCCAGAUGCCUCUCUCUGUCUUCUGGAGGUGGCUGGGGAGAAGUUCUUACCAUUACAGAAGGAGGCCAUUCACCUCCACUUCCCUCUUCCAGAUUAUUCUCUGGGAAAACUGGGUGCUUUUCAUUUGCAAUCCAGGGGCUGCCACCACUUUGGAGAAUGUUAAAAUCCAAUUUUAUAUAAAGAAGGGCUCUUUUAUUUCUUCUUUCUCUAUGAGGGAGAAAGAGAAGCAAGAUUGAUCUCAGUUUUUAACACAAUUGAAAAUGGCUUUUAGCCAAUUUUCUGUUUUACCCUGCUGUGCUCUGCCAGCCAAGGUAGGAGAAGAACAAGCAGCCUGUGUUCCUGGAGCACUUUUCUGAGAACAGGAAAAUAUCAGUGAUUUGGAUAAUUAAAUGUCUGGAUUAAAAUUUACCUAUGCCACAUCUUUAAAUAAAAAAUCUUGAUUAAAUAAUAUCAGCAAAGCAAACAGGAUGAUAAAGUAGAAUAUCUGUCUGAUUUAGUGAAGCAACCAUUUUUAUUGAUUGUAUACAUAAGUAAUGCUCAUUGUGAUCCAAGUUAAUCUCCUUAUUAAAACAUAUCACACAAGGAUCUCUACUAAUCAGGAAACAUUUAUUAGUCUAGUUUGGGUAUAUAACUGGCUUUCUUGGGUUUUGUUGCUUUUAACAAUUCAGAUUUUAAUCUCCCACUUGCCAGAGAUUGUCCUUGUCCACGAGGUUUCACCAGGGAUUUACCUGGGAAAAUGUUUCAUGGGAAGGGCCUGCUGGAGAGUUAUUGGUCAGGACCAACGCUGGCCUGAGGGAGGUGCUGAAGCUGCUUGGCUGCUCUGGGUGUAA
rnacentral:lncRNA from 1 species